rnacentral:lncRNA from 1 species
UUAGAUCAGGGUGCGAGUCAUAGAGGGCAGGCAGCUUCCCGGUGUCAACAUCAAAUCGGUGGUGAAAGUGACGGUUGCCGGACAGACGAAAAGAACUAGGAUCCGCAAAGGGAAUGGCCCGUUCUUCGACGAGAUCUUUUUCUUCAAUGUCUUUGAAUCUCCGGCUGAGCUGUUUGAUGAGCCCAUAUUCAUCACGGUUGUUGAUUCCCGGUCUCUCCGGACAGACUCUGUGAUUGGG